GCCAAGCCUAGCCCUAUCAUAACGUAAAUUAAACUAAAAACCAUAAUAAAACAAAUCAUUUGAUAAAAGAGAGUAUUGGAGAAAGAAACCUUUUUCCCAGGAGCUGUAGAGAAAGUACCGCAAGGGAAAGAUGAAAGAACACUAAAAAGUAAAAAUAAGCAAAGAUUAAACCUUGUACCUUUUGCAUAAUGAGUUAACUAGAAAGCACCUAACUAAGAGACCUUAAGCUAGGCACCCCGAAACCAAACGAGCUACCUAAGAGCAGUACAAAGAACCAACCCGUCUAUGUGGCAAAAUAGUGGGAUGACUCCUAGGUAGAGGUGAAGAGCCUACCGAGCUUGGUGAUAGCUGGUUGCCCGAUAAAUGAAUCUCAGUUCAACUUUAAGAAUUACCAUAAGGAACAACUACCAAAAUGUAAUCUUAAAUUUUAGCCUGAAGAGGGACAGCUCUUCAGUAAUGGAAACAGCCUUCUAUAGUGAACGAACCCACCACUCUAUAAACCAUUGUUGGCCUAAAGGCAGCCAUCAAUAAAGAAAGCGUUAAAGCUCAACACUACAAUUACCUAAUACCACAAAUCCUAAUGACUUCCUAUAACACCAAUCGGGUCAAUCUAUAAUUAUAUAGAUGAGAUACUGUUAACAUGAGUAACAAGAACACCGUUCUCCAAGCACAAGCCUAUAACAACCCGGAUAACCAUUGUUAGUUAACAUGUUCGGGUUCACAAGCCACCAUUAAACCGAACCUAUAACUAAAUGUUAGCCCAACACAGGCGUGCAAUAAGGAAAGAUUAAAAGAAGUAAAAGGAACUCGGCAAACACGAAUCCCGCCUGUUUACCAAAAACAUCACCUCUAGCAUAAAAAGUAUUAGAGGCACUGCCUGCCCAGUGACAUACGUUUAACGGCCGCGGUAUCCUGACCGUGCAAAGGUAGCAUAAUCACUUGUUCCUUAAUUGGGGACUGGAAUGAAUGGCCUCACGAGGAUUCAACUGUCUCUUACUUCCGAUCAGUGAAAUUGACCUCCCCGUGAAGAGGCGGGGAUAACACAAUAAGACGAGAAGACCCUAUGGAGCUUUAAUUUCCCGGCCUAACUACCCAACUUACACCCUAAUGGGUCAAAAAUAAAAGAUAUAGGCCAGUGAUUUAGGUUGGGGUGACCUCGGAGUAUAAAACAACCUCCGAACGAUUUUAACCAAGACAUACAAGUCAAAGUGCUAAAAAUCCAAUUGACCCAAUUUAUUUGAUCAACGGACCAAGUUACCCUAGGGAUAACAGCGCAAUCCUAUUCAAGAGUCCAUAUCGACAAUUAGGGUUUACGACCUCGAUGUUGGAUCAGGACAUCCCAAUGGUGCAGCAGCUAUUAAUGGUUCGUUUGUUCAACGAUUAAAGUCCUACGUGAUCUGAGUUCAGACCGGAGUAAUCCAGGUCGGUUUCUAUCUAUUAACUGUUCCUCCCAGUACGAAAGGACAAGAGAAACAAGGCCUCCUUGACAUAAGCGCCUUAAUACUAAUAAAUGAAAUUAUCUCAAUUUAGUAAGUUAGUUCUACCAUACCCUAGACCAAGGGUUCA
rnacentral:rRNA from 1 species